GGCCUGAUGGUCUAGUAGUAUGAUUCCUUGUUAGGGUGCCAAGUCCUCUCGAGGAGGUCCCGGGUUCAAUUCCCGGUCAGGCCC